rnacentral:rRNA from 1 species
UAUUUAUUAGAUAAAAAACCAAUGCCCUUCGGGGCUCCUUGGUGAAUCAUAAUAACUUAACGAAUCGCAUGGCCUUGCGCCGGCGAUGGCUCAUUCAAAUUUCUGCCCUAUCAACUUUCGAUGGUAGGAUAGUGGCCUACCAUGGUAUCAACGGGUAACGGGGAAUUAGGGUUCGACUCCGGAGAGGGAGCCUGAGAAACGGCUACCACAUCCAAGGAAGGCAGCAGGCGCGCAAAUUACCCAAUCCCGACACGGGGAGGUAGUGACAAUAAAUACUGAUACAGGGCUCUUUUGGGUCUUGUAAUUGGAAUGAGUACAAUUUAAAUCCCUUAACGAGGAACAAUUGGAGGGCAAGUCUGGUGCCAGCAGCCGCGGUAAUUCCAGCUCCAAUAGCGUAUAUUAAAGUUGUUGCAGUUAAAAAGCUCGUAGUUGAACCUUGGGCCUGGCUGGCCGGUCCGCCUCACCGCGUGUACUGGUCCGGCCGGGCCUUUCCUUCUGGGGAACCUCAUGCCCUUCACUGGGCGUGUUGGGGAACCAGGACUUUUACUUUGAAAAAAUUAGAGUGUUCAAAGCAGG